AGAGUUUUGUGGUAGAUCUAUGGGUGAAAUUUUGUGGAUUUAUGGUAUGAAUGUGUUCAAUAUGUAUUGUGAAUUUGAGCUCAAUCUAACAGUUGAAUUGAAGGAUAUUGAGGUUUAAAUGGGUCAAGGUCUCAGAAAGUAGAAUUUUAGGUCUAGUGAGGGUUUUUAAGAUUUCUUGCAAUUAUUGGUUGGAUUGGAGUGAAACUUACAUGAAAGGAUAUAAGACUUGAUUUCUUAUGUAUAAAAGAAUUUUGAAAUCAAUCGAACGGUGCAAAAGAAAGAUAUUGGCUCUAGAAGAUUGGCAUUAAGAUUGGAGAAAGAGGCCGGCCAAUACCCGAGCACAUUUUUGAAGUUAUCAUUAAUUUGGUAACCCCGAUCCUUUUUAAUUUUUUUGUGCUUGUUUUGAACUUAGUUUUUAAGAAGUUUGAAAAAUUUGAGUUAAGAUCAAAAAUUUAUUCAUUAGUUAUUGAGGUUUAAAUCUAUUAUAUAAAUUACUAGGAUUUGGAUUAGGAUUUGGUUUAGGGUUUAGGAUUUGGAUUAAGAUUUGGUUACGGUUUGAUUUAGGAUUUAGGGUUUGGAUUAGGGUUUGGUUUAGGAUUUAGGAUUUGGAUUAGGAUUUGAUUAAGAUUUGAUAAAGGUUUUAGGAUUUGGAUUAAGAUUUAGUUAGAAUUUGAUUUAUGGUUAAGGAUUUGGUUUAGGGUUUGAUUAGGAUUUGGUUUAGGAUUUGGUUGGAAUUUGAUUUAAGGUUUAUUUAGGGUUUGAUUUAGGAUUUAGGAUUUUAUUAGGAUUUAAGAUUCAAUUUGUUUUGGCCUAAAGUUUGAAUGAAGUUCUAUAGAAUUUUAACUAGAAUUAAAUUAAGAUUGAAUUGAGAUGUAUUUGAGUGAUAUUUGUGAUCCUUCUAAUAUUUCUUUAAGAAUUCUUAUUGUUUGUUUGAAAUUUUUUUGAGGUUUUU
rnacentral:lncRNA from 1 species